AACAACAAAAUCCGCAUGGAUUUUGUUUGAAAGGUGGCUUCGGCUAUCACUUCUGGAUGAUCCCGCGGCGUAUUAGUUAGUUGGUGAGGUAAAGGCCCACCAAGACGAUGAUACGUAGCCGACCUGAGAGGGUAAUCGGCCACAUUGGGACUGAGACACGGCCCAAACUCCUACGGGAGGCAGCAGUAGGGAAUCUUCCACAAUGGACGAAAGUCUGAUGGAGCAAUGCCGCGUGAGUGAAGAAGGGUUUCGGCUCGUAAAACUCUGUUGUUAAAGAAGAACACCUUUGAGAGUAACUGUUCAAGGGUUGACGGUAUUUAACCAGAAAGCCACGGCUAACUACGUGCCAGCAGCCGCGGUAAUACGUAGGUGGCAAGCGUUGUCCGGAUUUAUUGGGCGUAAAGCGAGCGCAGGCGGUUUUUUAAGUCUGAUGUGAAAGCCUUCGGCUUAACCGGAGAAGUGCAUCGGAAACUGGGAGACUUGAGUGCAGAAGAGGACAGUGGAACUCCAUGUGUAGCGGUGGAAUGCGUAGAUAUAUGGAAGAACACCAGUGGCGAAGGCGGCUGUCUAGUCUGUAACUGACGCUGAGGCUCGAAAGCAUGGGUAGCGAACAGGAUUAGAUACCCUGGUAGUCCAUGCCGUAAACGAUGAGUGCUAAGUGUUGGAGGGUUUCCGCCCUUCAGUGCUGCAGCUAACGCAUUAAGCACUCCGCCUGGGGAGUACGACCGCAAGGUUGAAACUCAAAGGAAUUGACGGGGGCCCGCACAAGCGGUGGAGCAUGUGGUUUAAUUCGAAGCUACGCGAAGAACCUUACCAGGUCUUGACAUCUUCUGCCAAUCUUAGAGAUAAGACGUUCCCUUCGGGGACAGAAUGACAGGUGGUGCAUGGUUGUCGUCAGCUCGUGUCGUGAGAUGUUGGGUUAAGUCCCGCAACGAGCGCAACCCUUAUUAUCAGUUGCCAGCAUUCAGUUGGGCACUCUGGUGAGACUGCCGGUGACAAACCGGAGGAAGGUGGGGAUGACGUCAAAUCAUCAUGCCCCUUAUGACCUGGGCUACACACGUGCUACAAUGGACGGUACAACGAGUCGCGAAGUCGUGAGGCUAAGCUAAUCUCUUAAAGCCGUUCUCAGUUCGGAUUGUAGGCUGCAACUCGCCUACAUGAAGUUGGAAUCGCUAGUAAUCGCGGAUCAGCAUGCCGCGGUGAAUACGUUCCCGGGCCUUGUACACACCGCCCGUCACACCAUGAGAG
rnacentral:rRNA from 2 species